CUUGGAUUUUCAUCUCUGAGACCCUGACUCUGUAGUGAUUCAGGCUGGCAUUAUAUCAACCCACCUGCUUCUGGAAGGGAGAGGAAAAAAAUCAGAAUCGCUCAACCUGCACAUUGCUGUCAGCUUGUGAUUACGUGAAUGCGUGGAAGACCAGGAAAGAGAAAAGACACGAUCACAGACCACAGAGAUAAAGACAAGAGGAGGCAUUGCAGGGUUACUCCUAAUGCUAAGUAUCUGAGAAUUAAACCUCCCAGACAAGCAGGAAGGCUUCAACUGCUGGGAAUAUUCACACCUUUUUGGAUGACUAAUUACUUCAGUUGGAAAGCUCAAAAGAAGGACAAAGAAGAGAAGAGAGGAGGAAUGAGAAGUGGUUCCAGCUCUAGGAACCUCAAUCAAGCCACAAGUCUGCAUGGAUCGUUCCCUAUUGCUCUAGUGUGUACUAAGCAAUCAUUCCUUUGAAUGAAUUGUUAGUAUUAAAAUCAUUCACCUUCAACAAAUAGCACUGCUUCAUUUUUACUGAUCUUUUUACAUAUACAUUGUCCAAGUGUUAUGCUGAAUCUUAUGAAAUUGCCAACAUCCUACCAUUUUUGACCUACAAAAACAGCAUUUCAAUAAGAUUCAACAUAAUAGAAUGAGCAUCUCUCGAAGGCAGGUAUCACAUCUAAUGUAGCUUUGCUACUACUAGCUUCUGACUGAUUAAAUAUCUGUUCAUGACUGAUGAUUAUACAGAACUCUUACUUAAACAGAUAGAGGAUAGACACAAUGGCUUAUGUUCCUCAGCCCAUUGGAUAUAUUUUAGAAAUGUCCCUGGGCUUCAGUAUCUCUGCAAAAAAGCAUCACUUCAAUGGUCUCAAUCCCCUUUUUUUAAACUUCAAUAGAGAACUUUACCCAUCAAAGCUUCCACCCAAAGGACUAUAACAUAUGAAGUAGUAAAUUUUAAAAAUUUGGAACCAAGGCGUUAAAAAAAGAAAAACUCAUAAUAAGCUACCACUUAACUGUGUUAUAGGAACCAUGCUAAACACUUUAUUAUAAUAUCAAAAUGAGUCUUUUUAACACUCCUGUGGGGAGAAAAAAUAAUACCCUUAUUUCACAGUAAAGGAGGUUAUCGCAUUCAAUAGUUGAGUAGAUUGACCAAUGUAAGUGGAAGAGUCAGAAUGAAAACCUAGGUGUGCCUGACACAAAGUCUGUGUGGUUAACCACUCUGUUAUACUACAUCAUCUCUGCCAAGCAGGCAUCAAGGGCUUUGCUCCCUGUAAAAAGAAGUCAUUAAAGGUGUCAUGAAAACAGGCAUCCCACACUAAUUUGGUAUCUGGCAUCUAUUUUCUCCAGCAUGCCUAAAAGCCAAGAGCUGAACUUGCUCUCCUGAAGAAACCAGGGAGUUAAGGAUCUCUGGUGUAAACAGCCACUUUCCACGGGGUAGGCAGCCUCUCUCAGCCUAAGUCUUACUAAAUACAGCUGGGCAGGACAGGGCCAGAACAGACAAACCUUAUACUACACAGAAAGGCCAACAAAAAGGGAAUGGUACUCUAAAAAUGCCAGCAUUGAAAAUCACGGAAAAAUUAUACAAACCUUAAAUGAUUCUAAGCUCUGUUUUUCUUUCUCAAAGCACUUAGAUUCAGGUACUCACACUACUACAUAAGAAAUCUGGCUGAACAAAAUGAACAGCAACAACAACGACAACACAAAACGAUCUUUUCCGUACUGGGGUGAGUUACUGAGGGUUUCUACAGCCUUCUCUGAAGAGCUGAGAGAGUAAUUUUUCUCUCCCAGAUGAUUUGCUUUUGGCUUUGGUCUUUUUACCUCAGUGCAAGCAAGUGGAUAGGUGACCCUUCAGGGUUAUUCCAUAAGCCCUCAUGAUCUGUGUUCAGAUGAUAAAUCAAAACAAAGACAGUUCAGAGCUUCACUAGAGCUCUUUAGUGGCAGCCAUAAUUAGCAUAGCUCUCUCAAGACCUGGCAGAUGCCAGGUGUCAAGGCAUCCUUAUUUUUAGAACAUUGGAGGUGGUUGCCCCCAAAAAGGAUGUAGACAGAAAGAGGAGCUGACAAUGUCAAGGGCAACUUCAAACACAUAGCAACACAACUAAAAUAUUGAUCAUGCAAACAUAGGGACUGUAUAACUUUACAUUUGGCAGCCAUUACCACUAAGCUGUCUCUCCCAUCUCAUAGAACUCCUAUGGAUAGUAGAACAUUUUAGAAGACAAAAAGUGAGAAAUAUGCAUUAUUUUCUUUAUGUCAGAGGAAGUCCUGGUAGGUGUUUGCAUUAUUUUGUGAGAAAUAGGCAGUCAUAUUAAAAUAUUAUUUGUUUCAAUGCUUGUCACUAUUCAGCUGAGCGGUCUUCCAUUUUUAAAAAAUAUGCCCUUGAUCCCAUUUGCUUUCACCUGUCUCUCAAUUUCCACAAGAUUCUAGUUGUCACCAACAUCAUAUACCCAUUUUCACUUCUAUCUCUACCUAAACCCAUACCCUGACUAUGGGAAAUUACUACUCUGGGUAUUCGGACAUAUUUCUUCAACUUUUCUGCUUCUGUCAGGUGUUAAUGACAAUGCUGCAGGCUGUGGCCCCCAAAUAACUCACUAUCAGGUUGAUGAAUUUUCACUGAAAAUACCCCUGCAGUCCUUUGCCCUAACCUAUCACUUGACAACACUUUGACUUUAUAUAUGCGUGCUUAAAUCCUUAUAUUUUCUAAUAUUUGGAUGCUAAUCUCAAGAAAGGCAAUGGAUAGGUGCAAAAUAAUUGAAAACCAUUUAAAACAUAGCCAUAGAUACAAUGGCUACAUAAAUCAUGACGUAUUGGUUCAAUGUAAUGUAUGUACUUACAUCAAAUUAUUCAACAAUUAUUUAUUGAGACAACAAUUAUUUAUUGAGAUGUGCCAUAUUUUAUGCAAGUUGUUACAGCAGAGGCAAAGAAAACUAUCUCUAUAUGGAAAUAUUCUCACAGGUAAGGAAAAGAAGCCAAAAAAAUUAAAAUAGUUAUAUAAUGCAGUAAAUGUUAUAAUGAAGGUGAGACUAGGAUGCUACGGGAGAAUAAAGGGAGUGAUCAGUACAAAAAUAAUUUAAGUAAAAAAAAUUGUAUCAAUAUUAUAAACACAUUAUGCAUGCAUAUGGACAAAUAUUAGGAAGCAAUGAGGGAAAGUGAAGUUAUGUUAAGGUGGUGGAUUUCUGGUUAGUUUUCUAUUUUUUCCUUCUAUUUUUGUAAUAAAUGAAAGUUUGGUGAGGGAACAUUAACUAAGUAAAUGGUGCCUUGUGUGAAGCAUCACUUAUAAAAUGGAUCUUACCAAACUAAUAGAAGAUACAAAAGGAAACUGACAGACUUUCUAUACACAGACACAUGAAAUUGGUGUGCAGACCAAUCCCAAUACCACUGAAAAGGCAACUCAUGAGAACUACGGGAGCUGUUUCUUCCUUAUAUUAACUAGGAUAUAUUGUCAUUAGAUGGGAAAUCAACUGUAGAAAUCAAUCAUUGUCUGGAAAAAAUCAUUAAUCACUUGACCAUGGUUAAUACAAAAUAUUGACUAAUAUGCUAAUUUCACAGAUGAUGCUAACAUUUAUCUA